GCACAAGCAGCGGAGCGUGUGGUUUAAUCGUUGCUACACGAAGAACCUUACCUGGGUUUGACAUAUAGGUUGUAGGGAACUGAAAAGGACCGACCUUCGGGAGCCUAUACAGGUGUUGCAUGGCUGUCGUCAGCUCGUGUCGUGAGACGUUCGGUUAAGUCCGCUAACGAGCGCAACCCUCGUCGUAUGUUAUAUGUGUCAUACGAGACUGCCGGUAAAAGCCGGAGGAAGGUGAGGAUGAUGUCAAGUCAGCAUGACCUUUAUAUCCAGGGCUACACACACGCUACAAUGGUCUGUACAAUGGGUAGCCAAGCCGCGAGGCGGAGCCAAUCCUGAAAGCAGGCCUCAGUUCAGAUUGCAGUCUGCAACUCGACUGCAUGAAGCCGGAGUUGCUAGUAACCGCAGGUCAGCAAUACUGCGGUGAAUACGUUCCCGGGUCUU
rnacentral:rRNA from 1 species